rnacentral:sRNA from 1 species
UGUUCUCGUGCGAGGCGGUGAGGCGCUUU